rnacentral:rRNA from 1 species
UACGUAGGGGGCUAGCGUUGUCCGGAAUCAUUGGGCGUAAAGAGCGUGUAGGCGGCCCGGUAAGUCCGCUGUGAAAGUCGGGGGCUCAACCCUCGAAUGCCGGUGGAUACUGUCGGGCUAGAGUCCGGAAGAGGCGAGUGGAAUUCCUGGUGUAGCGGUGGAAUGCGCAGAUAUCAGGAGGAACACCGAUGGCGAAGGCAGCUCGCUGGGACGGUACUGACGCUGAGGCGCGAAAGCGUGGGGAGCGAACAGG